AUGCUGGGGACUGUGCCAACAGGAAUGGGACCCGGACACCCUCUCCUCUCCCCUCCCGUCUCCUCCCCUCCUCUCCCCUCCCCUCUCCUCCUCUCCUCUCCCCUCCCCCUCUCCUCCCCUCCCCUCCCCUCUCCUCCUCUCCUCUCCUCUCCCCUCCUCUCCUCUCCCCUCCUCUCCCCUCCCGUCCCGUCAGAGACAGAAUCCUCUCUAGCAGACCUUCCUAGACCAGCCAUGGACAGGCAUCCAGGUUCAGGCUGGGGGUGGGGGAUGGCCAUCGGCCCCCGGAGAAGGGGAGGGUCACCCACCCGCCUGUUCACGCCGAGCCUGGCCCGUGAGCUGUGCCAGCCCCUGGGGGCCCUACCAGGAUGGCCACCCCUGCCAACCUCAACCCCCGCCCCUGCCCCCACCCCCAUCCCCAGCUGGGGCCCUGGGAGGGAACCUCCCACCUGCCCGGGGGAAAAGCCUGCCUGGCGGAGGCAGGAAGCCUGGUUGGUGCCCCGGGUGAACGGUUUCCUCUGCAGUGUGGUCUGGGCAGGGGCAGUGAGGGUGGGCAGCAGCCGGGCCUGGACAUGGGUGGGUGGCACAGGCAAGGCUGGGGCCAGGACAGCCUCCCUCCAUGACCCCAGGGGAGGCGGUCAGCCUGGGAGGGAGUUCAGGUUGCUGUGGGGAGCAUCGGGGGGAGGAGCAGGGCCUGGGAGAUGCUGGCCUCAAAAGGAGGACAGACAGGAAAUGAGGUGUGGCCGCGGCUGGAAUCAGCAUCAGCUAAAGCUGAUCUCCCCUCCUCUCCUCCCCUUCUCCCUCCUCCCCUCCUCUCCUUCCUCCCUCCUCCCCUGCCUCCCUCCUCCCCUCCUCCCCUGCCUCCCUCCUCCCCUCUCCCCUUCCUCCCUCCUUCCUUGCUUCCUCCUCCCCUGCCUCCCUCCUCCCCUCCUCCCCUUCUUCCCUCCUCCGCUGCCUCCCUCCUCCCCUCCUCUUCUUCCCUUCCCUCCUCCCCUUCCUCCCCUUUCUCCCCCACUCCCUACCCCUCCUCUCCUCCACCCCACCUCCAGCAUGCAGCUGCAUCGCUGCCAAAUCCACACGUCAAAAUGCCCAUGGCCCCAGACACAAGGACAGAGCCCCUGCCCCAAACACUGA
rnacentral:lncRNA from 1 species